GCUUGUGAUCCAAGUUCUUUCUAAGCUCUUAAAAUAAUUGACUCAUUUUAGAUGAACCUCUUUUUUCAAAAUUUAUUCUAAUCAUAUCAUUAUGGUCAAGCAUCCACCUAAAUUUUUUCUACAAUUAUUUUUGAAAAUGGUGAUAAACACAUGAAAAAUGAGUUAGACAUGUCGCAUUAUAAAGUACUAACCAAAACAACAUAUGCACAUUUAUCAAUCCAUUUAAAGUUUUACACAUCAUUAUCUUGAAUUGUUCAAACCAAAAAUCUUAAGU
rnacentral:lncRNA from 1 species